CUUGUGUUGGAAUCAUAUUUUUAGUUACCACACAACACACUACUUAUGAAGAAGAGUUGUACAUACAUAUCAAGUCAAAAUAUUUUUAUUGGCACGAUGGGACGAUGGGAUCACGCAUUUUUAAACGUAUGCAUGCAUGAGGUAGAAUCAAUUCGGCGAUGUAUGAGUGAGGGCAUAUUGUUUAGAUUUUUCUCGUCCGACUACCUGGUUUACCUUUAACGUUCCCAUUUUAAGAAACUUGUAAAUGAUAAGUUUAGGAGUUGGAAAGGAUCUCGCUGCUCUUAGUCUUCUCUCUAAAAGGAAGAGGAGAGGUGCAUUAAAUAGCAUUGACCGGGGGGACUUUACAAACAAACAAAUAAAAUAAACAAGAGUGCAUAUAUGGUGCUAAAUUAAAAUUGGAGAAUACGGCAUGCAUAUUUAAUGCAUAUUAUGUAUGUAUCUACUCGCAGUCAUUCGGCAUCUCGCAGCAUGUUCAUUCACACGAAUCGAGUCCUUUGUACCCGUUCCUGAAUUAUUAUUUACUAGUUUUACUACUGCUAACUAACUGCUUUGCUGUUCUGCGGUAGUAAAUAACUCGUAAUUUGUGGUAGAGCUACUACUCAUUCACUCAUUCACUCACCUGUUGAAUUAUUGGGAUUAUUUUGCAUAUAUCUUUUUUAUGAAUAUAUAGUAUGUCACCCGUCAUACACAUGUACAUAUAAAACCCGGUCUUUUUAGCACAUUUUCAGGCUAUUCAUCCCCUCAGGUUCCUCCUCUCUCGGAUAUGAUCAUUCAUAAUAUGUGUCAUUCAAGUUUGUUUGAAUAGCGUCGACCACUAUCUACCCAUCUCUUCUACACAGAGUCAAGAUUACUUUUAAUCACAAUUACCAAACGAGUGACCCAUAUGCCCAAGAAGCAUUAACUAACGAGCAGGCAAAAAAGAAGUGGCAGUAGCAAAAUCAAAACGCCACUUUUAUUCUGUACAAUCUAAAUUGAACCAUGUCCAAUCCCACGCCACGUCAAAAUAAUCAAAGUCAAAGUCCUAAUUUGUCAUGCCCUUAUUCAGCCCGAGUUGGACAUUUAUUCAGAUGCACAAUUCAACUGUCCUUACGAUGAGGAGAGAAGUCUAAAAAGGCAGGCUCUUCAUCUCUUGGAGAUAUUUUGAUAGAGGUUGAUCUCGGCUUUAAAACAUAAAUGAAAAAGACGCAGAAAUAAGAAUCAGGCAACGUUACGUCGUCCUUUGGCAUUGUUGACUAAUAAAGAAAGAAAAGUCGCAGGGGGUUUAAAAUAGCGGAGAAGAAGAAGACGUAACAAUUUAGACUUCAACGUGUAGUAAUCCAAUGUCAAUAAAGUUUUAGAAGCUUGUUCGGGUACAAACAAUUUAUUUAUUUAUUUAUUUAUCUAUAUUUACUUUGAGAAUAAACAAACUACAGUAAUUGUCCUAUUUGUAUUAUUAUAUUAUUGUACGGAUUUUUAACAUUUUUUCUCAUAGCGUGAUACUUUUUGCUGCUGUUUUUUUAGGUGUGAAAUGUAUCAUGUACAACAAAUUAUGCAGGAAUUUAGUUUUCAACACUUAAUCCGAG